UUAAGUUCAGCGGGUAGUCCUACCUGAUUUGAGGUCAAAUGGAUUCAAAGUGUCACAAAAGACGGUUUGAAAGCAGAUUCCCUUCACAACAACAUCAGAGUAGAUAAUUAUCAUACUGAUAGUUGGCUUUGCAAAGGCAUUCCAGCUAAUAGUUUUCAGAGGAGUGGGUAUACAAAGUACGCCCACAAAACCCCCACCUC
rnacentral:misc_RNA from 1 species